GGGAGAGAAAAUCAAAACGCACAAAGGAACAAACAAAUCAAAUGGAGCUGCACUGCACGGUCAAUCUUCCUCGGUUCAUUGUUAAUAUCUCACGCUGAGAUUGCUGGUUUCUUUCAGGAUGGAAAAACGCUGAUGGGGCGCGGCCAGAUCGCGGGGAGAAAUGGGUGGGGACGUACCUCUGGCCCCUUAGGUCUAGGUCACGUGGGUCUCCUCCUCCUGAAAGGGGCACUCUAAACCUCGCGGUCUGCAGGACACUGGGGGACUACGAGGGGCAAGGGAGAAAGCCGCCUUACUUCUUCCGGAGUCGGGAACCCUGAGAGAUCGGUUCUUCGUGCACUCCGAAGCCGGGAGGAGCGCGGUCUGGCCUGCGUUUAAGUGCGCGGCUCCGCGGGGGUCGCUAGUCCCGGGACUCACAGGCGCCGGGAGAGCGGUCUCAUCAGCCUUUGGCACCGAAAAGGAAGACAGCUCGGUGGGAACUCAAGCAGUCUGCCUGCAGAUACUGGGUUUUGUGCAUGCCUGCCUUCUUUUCCUGAAGGUAAGUUUUAUGCCUUUUUAAUCUUUGACACCUCCACAAGUUUUAGCAAAGUAUUUUGUGCUUUAGUUUAUGCCCAGAAAAAUCCUUAAUGCAUUGAGUUCUGUUAAAGAAGAGAAAACUCUUUGUAUGGAGAAAGAAUGUGGAGAGGCCUCCACGUUUGCAGGAUCCAGAAAUGUGAUUGUUGCAGGGAAAGCCCUAACUGGGUAAAGCCGGUAAGCUCCCAAGGUGGGCCACAAAAAAUGUAGAAAGUUAACCUUUGUAUAAUGAGAUGUAAAAUUAGAGAUGACAAAUCUGUGUAGAUUGAUUAUUCGCCAUUACUGUUCUAAUAAUGGUCAACACUAUAUCUAAAGUGUCUGUGGUUUGUCUGUAUGAUGUUUAACUUUCACUUUAAACCACACAGAAUAAAUUAAAAUGAAAAAAAAAAAAAAAAAGAUGAACCAGUCUGGAGCCUUGUAGAGUUUAUAUUUGACACAUGGGGAAGGCAGUAAUAGCUAGUUCUUAAAACGAAAUAUUUUCUGCCUAAGUUUCUUGAUGAAGAAUGUUAUUG
rnacentral:lncRNA from 1 species